CAAGUUCGUAGUAACGAGUCUC
rnacentral:miRNA from 10 species